CUGCUUAGGCCUGCCUGACUGCUGGUGCCAGGAACAUUUCUGGGAGAGGCUUGGGUCAACAAUUUGGCUGCUUACCGCGAGGGGCUGCUAAUAUCAGGGGCUUCACCCUGCAUCCCAGUCCAGCCUCAAACUCAAGAUGCUCUGGCCUGAGGCUCGAGAGUGCUGGGCUCCGGCUGGAACAAGGGAUGCGGGUCCACUUGCCGCACAAGCCUGGCCAUGUAAAGGUGUCUCCAGAGCCAACCAAUGACAAAAUGAAGCAUUUGAACCUUGUCUGUCUUCCCUAAAUAAUACAGCUUAUCUCGAAAAGCCUUCCAGAAUAUGUGCAUAGACUCUAAGCAAACGCCACUGUACACGAGAUCUGGGCAUCCUCGGAUUCCAAGGACUGAC